ACAAUGAAGAGAGCCUGUGGGGAUCACUCUCCUCGGCUCUGUCUGAGAGGCAUGUGGGAGUCUAGGACUCACACUCCAAGAUGCCCAGUCCUGUUCCACAUUGCAGGAGACCAAGCCACCCCCUGUGUCUGCACCUGCAUAUUCCUAGUGCUUCUCUGAGCCCCUGGGCUGUGAUGAAGGAGAUAAAUUCAUCCAAUCAUAUAU